GUGUUUUACUGAAGUUCCCUGUGUUCCUGAGGUCUUCUAGUGGAAGGAGCGUUAUUUCUCAACAUAGAACACACAGAAGACAGAAUUAACUCCAUGAUAUAGCUGCAUUACCACCCUGCUAUUCACUUCCUGACUUCAGCUCAAGUGCCUACAGGCCCUGUCCUACUAAGCUCUGUACAAGGCCUGACAUUUGACACCCAAGACCCCAGGACUUACACAGAGGCACAAGCGGAGGCCCUGGGGAAGAGCUCCAUGGUCACAGGACACCAGCUUUGGCCGUACUACAUUGUCAUUCAUUCCUCCCUGCCACACGCGUGCCUGCCCAUAUAGGAAAAUGAGUUUACAACCGACUACGCCUAUGGGACUCCCGGAGGGAUACAAUGUGAGAGCCUUUACUAGUGGUGGAUGGUCCUCAAAAGGUUUGAAAGUUUGCAAUUCUCAUUGAGUGAUUGCGACACUUUGGAGAAAUAAUUUUGAGCUGUGUUUGGACUGGAAAAGCCCAUCUGAGAUGUUCAGAACACCAGUCCAGAAAGAUGAACUUUUAAACACUGGGAUGUGAACCAAGCUAGCAUUCGGACUGUGGAUUUGCACUGUCAUCCAAGUGGGCUGAAAGGCAUUUGCUACAAAUGUCUUCAAAGAUGGGUCAGAAAUCACUGUUGUUGAAUUCUGAUUUAUUAUUUUGUUUUCUUUUGUCUUAGCAAUGAGACAAGAGUUGCUAAAAAGUCCAUAUUUUCUUCUAGCUGCUGGUAAAUACUUAUUGAAUCUUUCUUUGGGGUCUGUGAUUUUUCAUAUGUCUUAGUACACAAUGGAAUUAUUUAAUUACUUUUGCUAGCAAGUUUACAGACAAGUAUAUCCCUAUCAUACUGCAUAUCCUCAAAUAAGAUUAUUUACAAUCCAAUCUAAGGAGUGCUGACUGGUGUCAUUGGAAGCUAAAGCUGCAUCAGCAUUUAAAUUUCUACUUUUCUGGGCAAAAACCCAACUGGCUGAUUCAAUUAAACUCUUUAUGUUAUAU
ensembl:lncRNA